rnacentral:rRNA from 1 species
CCUACGGGUGGCUGCAGUGGGGAAUAUUGGACAAUGGGCGAAAGCCUGAUCCAGCCAUGCCGCGUGUGUGAAGAAGGCCUUCGGGUUGUAAAGCACUUUCAGUGGGGAAGAAAGCCUUGGGGCUAAUACCCUCGAGGAAGGACAUCACCCACAGAAGAAGCACCGGCUAACUCCGUGCCAGCAGCCGCGGUAAUACGGAGGGUGCGAGCGUUAAUCGGAAUUACUGGGCGUAAAGCGCGCGUAGGCGGUCUGAUAAGCCGGUUGUGAAAGCCCCGGGCUUAACCUGGGAACGGCAUCCGGAACUGUCAGGCUAGAGUGCAGGAGAGGAAGGUAGAAUUCCCGGUGUAGCGGUGAAAUGCGUAGAGAUCGGGAGGAAUACCAGUGGCGAAGGCGGCCUUCUGGACUGACACUGACGCUGAGGUGCGAAAGCGUGGGGAGCAAACAGGAUUAGAUACCCCAGUAGUC